UUUUAGCCCUGAUAGAAGUGGAAAUCCUUUUUUAAAAAAUUUCUAUUUUUUCUUGUUUAAAAAAAGCGACCAAAGAAGCUCUUUUUUAAACUUAGAAAAAAAGGAAUUUUUAAAAAAGAUUGGAACGUAUAGCAGGAUUGGCU
rnacentral:sRNA from 1 species